rnacentral:rRNA from 1 species
AGUGAACGCUGGCGGUAGGCCUAACACAUGCAAGUCGAACGGCAGCACAGUAAGAGCUUGCUCUUACGGGUGGCGAGUGGCGGACGGGUGAGGAAUACAUCGGAAUCUACUUUUUCGUGGGGGAUAACGUAGUGAAACUUACGCUAAUACCGCAUACGACCUACGGGUGAAAGCAGGGGAUCUUCGGACCUUGCGCGAUUGAAUGAGCCGAUGUCGGAUUAGCUAGUUGGCGGGGUAAAGGCCCACCAAGGCGACGAUCCGUAGCUGGUCUGAGAGGAUGAUCAGCGACACUGGAACUGAGACACGGUCCAGACUCCUACGGGAGGCAGCAGUGGGGAAUAUUGGACAAUGGGCGCAAGCCUGAUCCAGCCAUACCGCGUGGGUGAAGAAGGCCUUCGGGUUGUAAAGCCCUUUUGUUGGGAAAGAAAAGCAGCAGGUUAAUACCCCGCUGUUCUGACGGUACCCAAAGAAUAAGCACCGGCUAACUUCGUG